rnacentral:rRNA from 1 species
CGCCCUUUGCGAAAAAGUUUGAAGUAUAAAGGGUCCUGCCUGCCCGGUGACAAAUUAGUUAAACGGCCGCGGUAUUUUGACCGUGCAAAGGUAGCAUAAUCAUUUGCCUUUUAAAUGGGGGCUGGUAUGAAUGGCAAGACGGAGGUUGAGCUGUCUUUCUUUUAAAAUCUUGAAAUUAAUAUUUUUGUGAAGAAGCGAAAAUAAAUUCGUAGGACGAGAAGACCCUAUCGAGCUUUAGUGUAAUUUGAAUUAGUGAGCAGCUUUUUUCUUGAAACUAAUUAAGGCUGGGAAGUCUUAUUUGCUUUAAUUCAUGAAAAAAGGUUAAUGUAAUUUAUUCACUUUGAUUGGGGCAAUCGCGGAGAAAAAAAAUCCUCCGUUAAGAAUGAAGUAAAAUUACUAUUUUAUUAUAAUUAGAAGAGAUCCAAUGUUUUAUUGAGCAAAGGAAAAAGUUACCGUAGGGAUAACAGCGUAAUUUUUUUGGAGAGUUCAUAUUGAUAAAAAAGUUUGCGACCUCGAUGUUGGAUCGGGAUUUCCUGGGGGUGCAGCAGUUCCCAAGGGUUGGUCUGUUCGACCAUUAAAAUCCU